GCCUCCGUAGCUCAGUGGCAGAGCAGCGGUCUUAUACCCCGCAGCGCGCCGGUUCGAGUCCGGCCGGAGGUA
rnacentral:tRNA from 2 species